rnacentral:rRNA from 1 species
UAAAGAUUCAUCGCUGAUAGAUAGGCAUGCGUUCCAUUAGGCAGUUGGCGGGGUAACGGCCCACCAAACCGACGAUGGAUAGGGGUUCUGAGAGGAAGGUCCCCCACAUUGGUACUGAGACACGGACCAAACUCCUACGGGAGGCAGCAGUGAGGAAUAUUGGUCAAUGGGCGUAAGCCUGAACCAGCCAAGUCGCGUGAGGGAUGAAGGUUCUAUGGAUCGUAAACCUCUUUUAUAAGGGAAUAAAGUGCGGGACGUGUCCCGUUUUGUAUGUACCUUAUGAAUAAGGAUCGGCUAACUCCGUGCCAGCAGCCGCGGUAAUACGGAGGAUCCGAGCGUUAUCCGGAUUUAUUGGGUUUAAAGGGUGCGUAGGCGGCCUUUUAAGUCAGCGGUGAAAGUCUGUGGCUCAACCAUAGAAUUGCCGUUGAAACUGGGAGGCUUGAGUAUGUUUGAGGCAGGCGGAAUGCGUGGUGUAGCGGUGAAAUGCUUAGAUAUCACGCAGAACCCCGAUUGCGAAGGCAGCCUGCCAAGCCAUGACUGACGCUGAUGCACGGAAGCGUGGGGAUCAAACAGGAUUAGAUACCCUGGUAGUCCACGCAGUAAACGAUGAUCACUAGCUGUUUGCGAUACACAGUAA